rnacentral:rRNA from 1 species
UGGGGGAUAUUGCACAAUGGGCGAAAGCCUGAUGCAGCGACGCCGCGUGGGGGAUGAAGGCCUUCGGGUUGUAAACUUCUUUUGCUCUGAACAAGGCGCACCAUGGGGUGUGUUGAGUGUAGGGGUUGAUUAUCGCCUGCUAACUACGUGCCAGCAGCCGCGGUAAUACGUAGGGCGCGAGCGUUGUCCGGAAUUAUUUGGCGUAAAGGGCUUGUAGGUGGCUGGGUGCGUCUGUCGUGAAAGCUCAUGGCUUAACUGUGGGUUUGAGGUGGGGACGGGAUGGCUAGAGUGCAGUAGGGGAGGCUGGAAUUCCUGGUGUAGCGGUGGAAUGCGCAGAUAUCAGGAGGAAUACCGGUGGCGAAGGCGGGUCUCUGGGCUGUUAAUGACACUGAGGAGCGAAAGCAUGGGGAGCGAACAGG